GAUGAACGCUGGCGGCGUGCCUAAUACAUGCAAGUCGAGCGAACGGACGAGAAGCUUGCUUUUCUGAUGUUAGAGGCGGACGGGUGAGUAACACGUGGAUAACCUACCUAUAAGACUGGGAUAAAUUCGGGAAACCGGAGCUAAUACCGGAUAAUAUUUUGAACCGCAUGGUUCAAAAGUGAAAGACGGUCUUGCUGUCACUUAUAGAUGGAUCCGCGCUGCAUUAGCUAGUUGGUAAGGUAACGGCUUACCAAGGCAACGAUGCAUAGCCGACCUGAGAGGGUGAUCGGCCACACUGGAACUGAGACACGGUCCAGACUCCUACGGGAGGCAGCAGUAGGGAAUCUUCCGCAAUGGGCGAAAGCCUGACGGAGCAACGCCGCGUGAGUGAUGAAGGUCUUCGGAUCGUAAAACUCUGUUAUUAGGGAAGAACAUAUGUGUAAGUAACUGUGCACAUCUUGACGGUACCUAAUCAGAAAGCCACGGCUAACUACGUG
rnacentral:rRNA from 1 species